rnacentral:rRNA from 1 species
GGCUUAAUGAUUAUAAUUUUAGGUCUGACCUGCCCAAUGAGGAUUUAAAUGGCCGCAGUACUUUGACUGUGCAAAGGUAGCAUAAUCAUUAGUUUCUUAAUUGGAAACUGGAAUGAAAGGUUUGAUGAGAAGAUAUCUGUCUCUAAAAAAAUUUAUUAGAACUUUAUUUUUAAGUUAAAAAGCUUAGAUGAGUAUAGAAGACGAGAAGACCCUAUAGAGUUUUAUAUUUAUGACAAAUUAUUUUUUUUAGAAUAGGAAAGGUUUAAAUUGUUUAAAGUAUUUUGUUGGGGUGAUAAAAAAAUUAAUUUAACUUUUUUUAAAUUAAUACAUUGAUUUAUGAACAUGUGAUCCUAAAUUUUAGAUUAUAAGAUUAAAUUACCUUAGGGAUAACAGCGUAAUUUUUUAAAGAGUUCUUAUCGGAAAAAAAGAUUGCGACCUCGAUGUUGGAUUAAAAUUUAUUACUGGUGAAGAAGCUAGAAAAUUAGGUCUGUUCGACCUUUAAAAUUUUACAUGAUCUGAGUUUAAACCGGCGUGAG